rnacentral:rRNA from 1 species
AUCGGGGUUGCGGACAGUGUCUGGUGGGUAGUUUGACUGGGGCGGUCUCCUCCUAAAGAGUAACGGAGGAGCACGAAGGGCUGCUAAUCCUGGUCGGACAUCAGGAGGUUAGUGCAAUGGCAUAAGCUGGCUUGACUGCGAGCGUGACGGCGCGAGCAGGUGCGAAAGCAGGUCAUAGUGAUCCGGUGGUUCUGAAUGGAAGGGCCAUCGCUCAACGGAUAAAAGGUACUCCGGGGAUAACAGGCUGAUACCGCCCAAGAGUUCAUAUCGACGGCGGUGUUUGGCACCUCGAUGUCGGCUCAUCACAUCCUGGGGCUGAAGUAGGUCCCAAGGGUAUGGCUGUUCGCCAUUUAAAGUGGUACGCGAGCUGGGUUUAGAACGUCGUGAGACAGUUCGGUCCCUAUCUGCCGUGGGCGCUGGAGAAUUGAGGGGGGCUGCUCCUAGUACGAGAGGACCGGAGUGGACGCAUCACUGGUGUUCGGGUUGUCAUGCCAAUGGCAUUGCCCGGUAGCUAAAUGCGGAAGAGAUAAGUGCUGAAAGCAUCUAAGCACGAAACUUGCCCCGAGAUGAGUUCUCCCUGACUCCUUGAGAGUCCUGAAGGAACGUUGAAGACGACGACGUUGAUAGGCCGGGUGUGUAAGCGCAGCGAUGCGUUGAGCUAACCGGUACUAAUGAACCGUGAGGCUUAACCUUACAACGCCGAAG